CGUAGGGUGCGAGCGUUAAUCGGAAUUACUGGGCGUAAAGCGUGCGCAGGCGGUUUAGUAAGACAGGCGUGAAAUCCCCGGGCUCAACCUGGGAACUGCGCUUGUGACUGCUAAGCUAGAGUACGGCAGAGGGGGGUGGAAUUCCACGUGUAGCAGUGAAAUGCGUAGAGAUGUGGAGGAACACCAAUGGCGAAGGCAGCCCCCUGGGUCGAUACUGACGCUCAUGCACGAAAGCGUGGGUAGCAAACAGGAUUAGAUACCCUGGUAGUCCACGCCCUAAACGAUGUCCACUAGGUGUUGGGAGGGUAAAACCUUUUAGUACCGGAGCUAACGCGUGAAGUUGACCGCCUGGGGAGUACGGCCGCAAGGUUA
rnacentral:rRNA from 1 species